rnacentral:rRNA from 1 species
UACGAAGGGGGCGAGCGUUUGUUCGGAAUUACUGGGGCGUAAAGGGCGCGUAGGCGGGCGACUCAAGUUAGAUGUGAAAGUCCUGGGGCUUAACCUGGGGGACUGGCAUUUGAUACUGGGGUUGCUUGAAUUCGGGGAGAGGAGUAGCGGGAAUUCCCAGUGUAGAGGUGAAAUUCGUAGAUAGUUGGGGAAGAACACCGGGUGGGCGAAGGGCGGGCUGAUCUGGGACCCGACAUUGACGCUGAGGGCGCGAAAGCGUGGGGAGCAAACAGGG